CCUUGCGUCACUUCCGGCUUCCCCUCCACCUUUUUCUAGGCUUCUCCUCUAGAGACGUCGGAGGGUGGUAAGGACAGGUUUUUGUGAAAUUCCGUACGGCUUCACAUCCAAAUUAUCUAGGCCCUUUUUCUCUAAUGGCCUAGCAUCCGUCGCGCUUUCCAUGGCUCAACGAAGCAGGUUGGAGGUUCCAGGACUGCAGUUUGCGUUUUGUUCUUAAACACAUUUGGGAAAUUACCUUGACCCUAUCUUAUCUCUCUUGAAGUACAAUAGAGACAAAAAGCACCAAAGUUAAUGCCUGAAGAUUCACAGCUAAUGAAGAAACUGCUCACAUUUGGCCAAGAUCACAUAAUAGGAGGUGGGGAAUUGGAACCCACUCUGACUGACUCCAAAUUAAUAGAGAGUUUGUAGCCACUUACAUAAUAAUGG